GGCGGAAUAGCUCAGUUGGCCAGAGCAAUCGGUUCAUACCCGGUCGGUCGUCGGUUCGAAUCCAACUUCCGCUACCA
rnacentral:tRNA from 1 species